rnacentral:tRNA from 1 species
AUUUAUAUAGUUUAAAUAAAACCUUACAUUUUCACUGUAAAAAUAAAUACUUUUUUUUAUAAAUU